rnacentral:rRNA from 1 species
GCGAUCUGCGGGCGGGGAGCGGCGGUAGUACGGGGGGGGCAAGCGGUAACCGGAGUCACUGUGUUUAAAGGGUGCGUAGGUGGAUUGAUAAGUCAGUGGUGAAAGCCCCGAGCUCAACUUGGGAAUUGCCAUUGAUACUGUUAGUCGUGAGUUCGGUUGAGGUAGGCGGAAUAAGUCAUGUAGCGGUGAAAUGCUUAGAUAUGACUUAGAACACCGAUUGCGAAGGCAGCUUACCAAGCCGACACUGACACUGAGGCACGAAAGCGUGGGGAUCAAACAGGAUUAGAUACCCCUGUAGUC